rnacentral:rRNA from 1 species
UACGAAGGGGGCUAGCGUUGUUCGGAAUCACUGGGCGUAAAGGGCGCGUAGGCGGCCGAUCAAGUCGGGGGUGAAAGCCUGUGGCUCAACCACAGAAUUGCCUUCGAUACUGUUUGGCUUGAGACCGGAAGAGGUUAGUGGAACUGCGAGUGUAGAGGUGAAAUUCGUAGAUAUUCGCAAGAACACCAGUGGCGAAGGCGGCUGACUGGUCCGGUUCUGACGCUGAGGCGCGAAGGCGUGGGGAGCAAACAGG